rnacentral:rRNA from 1 species
AUAAGCGGGGGAAACCCCGUCUAAUACCGCGUAACGCGGCCUAGGGACAUCCCAAGGCCGCCAAAGGGAGCAAUCCCGGCCACGGAUGGGCAUGCGGCGCAUUAGCUAGUCGGCGGGGUAACGGCCCACCGAGGCGACGAUGCGUAGGGGUUCUGAGAGGAAGGCCCCCCACACUGGUACUGAGACACGGACCAGACUCCUACGGGAGGCAGCAGUGAGGAAUAUUGGUCAAUGGGCGCGAGCCUGAACCAGCCAAGUCGCGUGAGGGAGGACGGCCCUACGGGUUGUAAACCUCUUUUGCCGGGGAGCAACGGGCGUCACGUGUGGCGCCACUGAGAGUACCCGGAGAAAAAGCAUCGGCUAACUCCGUGCCAGCAGCCGCGGUAAUACGGAGGAUGCGAGCGUUAUCCGGAUUUAUUGGGUUUAAAGGGUGCGUAGGCGGAUCGUUAAGUCAGUGGUCAAAUUGAGGGGCUCAACCCCUUCCCGCCAUUGAAACUGGCGAUCUUGAGUGGAAGAGAAGUAUGCGGAAUGCGUGGUGUAGCGGUGAAAUGCAUAGAUAUCACGCAGAACCCCGAUUGCGAAGGCAGCAUGCCGGCUUCCGACUGACGCUGAAGCACGAAAGCGUGGGGAUCGAACAGGAUUAGAUACCCUGGUAGUCCACGCGGUAAACGAUGAGCAAUGGGUGUCCGGGGGGAAUGGCCCCUGGGUG